rnacentral:rRNA from 1 species
GACGAACGCUGGCGGCGUGCUUAACACAUGCAAGUCGAGCGGAAAGGCCUCUUCGGGGGUACUCGAGCGGCGAACGGGUGAGUAACACGUGAGUAAUCUGCCCCGGACUUUGGGAUAGCCACCGGAAACGGUGAUUAAUACCGGAUAUGACGACUCCACGGAUGUGGUGGUUGUGGAAAGUUUUUUCGGUUCGGGAUGUGCUCGCGGCCUAUCAGCUUGUUGGUGGGGUAAUGGCCUACCAAGGCUUUGACGGGUAGCCGGCCUGAGAGGGUGACCGGCCACACUGGGACUGAGACACGGCCCAGACUCCGACGGGAGGCAGCAGUGGGGAAUAUUGGACAAUGGGCGGAAGCCUGAUCCAGCAACGCCGCGUGAGGGAUGACGGCCUUCGGGUUGUAAACCUCUUUCAGCACCGACGAAGCUCCACUUUUGGUGGUUUGACGGUAGGUGCAGAAGAAGGACCGGCCAACUACGUGCCAGCCGCCGCCGUAAGAC